UUGGCCUCCCGUGGCUCCAACUUCGUAACCCCACCAUCUCCUGGUCGAGGAUGAGAAUUACCACCUGGGGACCAGGAUCCCGGAAGACCUGCUGUCCUGCUCCCUGUGGUUCCACAUUGGUGGAGGGUUCUGCGAGUGCCCUCCAGCCUAUCAAUAUGUCCUCCUAAAUCGUUGGCCCCGUGUGUUUGGAUGUAGACGUGGACAUCCGCCAGGCUCUGUAGAGGGAACCCGCUCCUGCUACCUGCCCUCCAGAGCGCACCUUUGUCCAUGCAGGGCUGAGAGAUCGGCUGUUGACUUGGGCACACACAUCCCUCGCUACUGGACACCCAGGUGUCACCUGCACCAUCCAAUCCCUCUACGAUAAAUACUGGUGGCCCACCUUGGCGCAGGAAGUCACCCACUAUGUCAACUCAUGCACCGUAUGUAUCCAAUCCAAAUCUCCCUGUUACGCACCUGCAGGGAAACUACUUCCCGUGCCUCAGCGGCCUUGGUCACAUCUGUCCAUAGACUAACUUAUCUCCCCCUUUCUGAUGGUUUUACCCCUAUUAUGGUUGUUGUUAACAGAUUAUCUAAAUCAUGCUGUUUUAUCCCUCUCUCUGGUCUACCUACCACUCUCCAGGUCGCUGAGGCAAUAUUCCAGUAGGUCUUCAGGCACUAUGGCCUUCCGGAGGAGGUCGUUAUCCAACCGUGGUCCCCAAUUCAAGUCGCAGGUCUGGAUAGCCUUUAUGGAGAAGCUGGGGGACACGGUCAGCAUCACAUCCGGGUACUGGCCUUAGUCCAACGUGCAGGUGGAGAGGACCAACCAGGAGCUGGAGAGGUUCUUAGUGGGCCCGGUUCCUUUCCUGGGAGGAAUACACCCAGAACUCACUUCGUCACUCCUCCACCGAGCUGUCUCUCUUCCAGUGCUUCCUGGGAUAUCAGCCGGCCAUGGCUCCGUGGACUCAGACCGAGGCCCCUGCAGUGGACAAGUGGUUCCGAUGUGCAGAGGAGGUGUGGAAUGCCGCCCACGUAAGGUUCCAAUGCUCUGUCUGCUGACAAAAGUAUCAGGUGGAACAUCACCGCAAUGAGGCUCCCUUGUUCCAUCCUAGUGAUCGCAUGUGGCUCUCUGCCAGGAACCUCCCACCCUGCCGGAAGCUGAGCCCCCAGUUUGUGAAGCCCUUCAAGGUCCUCCGGAGGGUUAAUGAGGUCAGUGAUUCCUGGUCCCCUUGCUGAUGCCCCCCCCCCUUUCUGAUGCCGUCCCCCGCGACACCCCUCUGCCUCCCCUAGACAUCGAUGGGUCCCCUGCAUAUGCCGUCAGGUCCCUACUGAACUCCCGACGUCAUGGGGGUCGGCUUCAGUACCUGGUGGACUGGGAGGGGUAUGGCCCAGAGGAGUGUUUUUGGGUUCUGGCGGCCGACAUCCUGGACACCAACAUUGUCUAGGAUUUCCAGCUCCACUGUCCGCAGUUGCCUGCUCCUGGCCCUUGGACCAUCCUCCUGGCCGGCGUCAUCCUGCGGCUGGAGCCAAGCAUCAGGGCUGGGGCACUGUCACCUCUACUCCCGUUCCCUUUCUCCGGCGCUCCACGUCACUGGUCUACUAACCACAGGUCCUGGCAACCAUCAUUACGCACACCUGGCAAUCAUCAUUACGCAUUGCUCCCCAUCGUUAUGCACACCUAAUCAGUACCUUGAUUACUUCCCCUUUAUUUAGCCCUCAGUAGCCUCAGUCUUCAGGCAGUAUUGGUUUUGUUUUUCAUGCCUAGUACGCUUCUCUUGUUAUGUAUAUCUUCAUGUUCUUCGUUAUUAAACUCACCAAUUGCACCUGC